ensembl:lncRNA
AUGAAAAUAAUAGAUUUACCUGGUAUAGUUUCAUCAUUGGAUUUGUCUUUGCCAGAACACCAUUGUCAUCUUGUGUUGAUCAGGUCUUCUAAUUUGUCAUUUGUAUGUUACUAUACAUAUAUGUCAGAAGCUGAAUUAUUUUUUAAUAAAUUCACUUUGUUUAGUAAGGAAGAAAUCUUUUCUAAAUAUGAAUUAUAUGAGGGGGAAAUGUAAGUGGCAGAACUUUCUGCAGAGUCACUGGAGUGUUGGCAUGGUAGAAAGUUAACCUGCCUGUUACCUUUUCAUUAAUAGUUUUCUCUCCUCCCAGGAUCCUUCCAUUUCCAAAUACUCAAUUGGACAAACUUUAUAUAAAAGCCUUCGGUGCCAGGCCCACUAGUUUUCUUACAAAUCUUGACUCUGAAUCCCUGAAAGAGGAAGAAAUUCACGAGAGAGAACUGCAUUAUUUUAUAAGAGGGAAAUCCAUCUUAGCUGAAGGAGCUAAUAUGAUGUAAAAAGCAAGCAAAUAAUAAAUCCUUGCCCUAGUCUUUUUUCAAUGUGUGUAUAAUUUGAAAUAACUUUUUUUUCAAAGAAUAUUUAUACAGUUUCUCCUAUUCCUGUCUCUCUUAUUCGUGUAUCUCUGCUUGAGCUGCACUAAUGAUGUGAAUCCUGAAAUAAGGAAGUGAAACGUUGAGUGUUCUCACAUAAUUAUACCCAACUAGCAUGAAAUAAUACCUAAUUUGUUUUUCUUUCUCCUCCAUCUUUACCCUAAAUCUAGGAGAUCUCAUUUUACCAAAUCACUGUCUGGGAAUUUAAGUGGGAAAUGGUUUCUGUAUCCCAGCUAAUUAAACCCUGAAAUUGUUAGCAGCAAAGCAAUUCCGAAAGGCAAAGGUGGCUACAAGUGUAAGAUGAGUUCCCUGAUCAAACACAGCAAAACAAAGAACAGUUAGAUUCAACAACAGAAGCAUCGCUAGAAUGAAAAAAUGUGAUGAGAUCACAAAACCUGGCACCCCAACGCCACCAAGAGCCCAGGGAGCAAGUGGGAAAGUUGCAUUCCCAAGAAAAUCACUUGAAACCAGGGAGGCAGAAUGUUCUCUUUGGCCAUUUGCUACCAGGUCAUCAGGAACACGGAGGACCUUGAGCCAGCUAGAAAGGAGCAUGGUUUGGAAGAGGAGCUUCUAAGAAUGACAAGAAAAAAAGAAUGGUGACUCCCAUUAGGAAAUCACCUGUACCUUCUAAUGGAGAGAAGAAAUACCUUUAGGAUUUUAGACUGAAGGACAGUGAAGAGAGCUGGUAUAGCUCAGGGAUCCUGCAGACUGUGUCAUACCCUGUUCCAGUCAAGGACAGGAGCAAGCUAAUGGAAUUUCCACCAUAACUUUCAUUCAUUAACUACUUUUAACUCCCUCUCUUUCUGCAAACAUCUGAUUAUCUAUACUGAGGCUAAAUAGGUACUGACUGUGCAAGCCUAGGCUAAAAUUUGUUCAUUGUGGUAAGAAGCGCCAGAGAACAGUUUAAAGCAGGUUUUCCUCAGUCAUUUCAUAACUCAAGCAGCGUGUACACUAAAACAUAAACCUGAAAAUUUAAUAACAUGAGAAAAACCCAGCCAACAUGAAAUAAAAGUAAUUAUUGGAGGAUCUCAGUAAGUUAUUUUUUUCAUUUCUUUUUCUUCACACCUCAGUGGGAUAUAAGUCCAAAAGGAUUUUAGGCAAUUUAUUAAAAACAUUAUUACAAUGGCAUAAAAGUAAAUAGUUGAGGAAAUAAGUAUGACGAUGAAAGUAACGAAAAAGAAUAAAACCAGGAAUAAAAUCAAAAAUAAAAGUUCUCCUCAAGAUACUUACACAGAUGCUUAAAGGUAUAUAGUAUGACAUAGUGGGGAAUUUUCCUGUAGGCUACCUAAUGGAUAAGGCCACUGAUUUAAAAAUCAAAUAAACUUGGGUUUGAACCCUAUUAUUGCCAUUUACAAGAUGUGUAACCUGUAUCCUGACUUGUAAAAUAGAGAUGAUAUUUACUCCAAGGGAUGUUUGGAAGGAUUAAAUUUAAAUGACGCAUGAUGCCUUGAUAGAGUAAGCACUCAAUAAUUUGUAGCUAUAAGUAAAUGCAUACAAUUAGGAAUUUAAGUCAUUUUCUUACACAGUUGACCCUUGAACAACACAGGUUUGAACUGCAUGGGUCCACUUACGUGUGAAUUUUUUUUUGUAUAAGUACAAUACAGCUCUGUACUGUACAGUGUAUUUUCUAUUCCUUGUGAUUUUCUUAAUAAAAUUUUGUCUAGCUUCAUUGUUAA